GACGAACGCUGGCGGCGUGCUUAACACAUGCAAGUCGAACGGAAAGGCCCUGCUUUUGUGGGGUGCUCGAGUGGCGAACGGGUGAGUAACACGUGAGUAACCUGCCCUUGACUUUGGGAUAACUUCAGGAAACUGGGGCUAAUACCGGAUAGGAGCUCCUGCUGCAUGGUGGGGGUUGGAAAGUUUCGGCGGUUGGGGAUGGACUCGCGGCUUAUCAGCUUGUUGGUGGGGUAGUGGCUUACCAAGGCUUUGACGGGUAGCCGGCCUGAGAGGGUGACCGGCCACAUUGGGACUGAGAUACGGCCCAGACUCCUACGGGAGGCAGCAGUGGGGAAUAUUGCACAAUGGGCGGAAGCCUGAUGCAGCAACGCCGCGUGCGGGAUGACGGCCUUCGGGUUGUAAACCGCUUUCGAAGGUGACGAAGAGUGAGUGACGGUAAUGGGUAAAGAAGCACCGGCUAACUACGUG
rnacentral:rRNA from 1 species